GAUGAACGCUGGCGGCGUGCCUAAUACAUGCACGUCGAGCGAACAGACGAGGAGCUUGCUCCUCUGACGUUAGCGGCGGACGGGUGAGUAACACGUGGAUAACCUACCUAUAAGACUGGGAUAACUUCGGGAAACCGGAGCUAAUACCGGAUAAUAUAUUGAACCGCAUGGUUCAAUAGUGAAAGACGGUUUUGCUGUCACUUAUGGAUGGAUCCGCGCCGCAUUAGCUAGUUGGUAAGGUAACGGCUUACCAAGGCAACGAUGCGUAGCCGACCUGAGAGGGUGAUCGGCCACACUGGAACUGAGACACGGUCCAGACUCCUACGGGAGGCAGCAGUAGGGAAUCUUCCGCAAUGGGCGAAAGCCUGAUGGAGCAACGCCGCGUGAGUGAUGAAGGUCUUCGGAUCGUAAAACUCUGUUAUUAGGGAAGAACAAAUGUGUAAGUAACUAUGCACGUCUUGACGGUACCUAAUCAGAAAGCCACGGCUAACUACGUG
rnacentral:rRNA from 1 species